rnacentral:lncRNA from 1 species
AAUUUGGGCUUCAGUAAAUAUUAAAUUUUGGACCUAUUGUUAUUUAAUUUAUUUAGCCCAAAUGAAUUUAGCCUUGAACCCGUUACCCAUAACCCAUUUCAUUUGGCCAUUUCCCUCACAUUUUCAAUCGCCAACAGAAUACGAGCUCAGGCAGCAGCAAGAAUUGUGAAUUUCCUCCAAAUUGCCAAACCCUUUUCCUCAAUCUCACUUUUUCUUGCUCUAAAUUCACACCACAAACCACACGACCUAGCUGACUAGCUCCAGACUCCGAGCAGACCAAAUAAACAGCAAACUCAUCAAAUCAUUCGUUGCUUGCCUACUUUUGGCUCCGCGCCUGCUCCCGAUUGUCGAACUCCCAAACGCCUGAACCGCCAACCGGUGAACCGGACAGUGAACUCCAUCAGGCAUCAGACUUUCAGAUCGGUGACUCCUUCUUUCCC